rnacentral:rRNA from 1 species
UAGAGUUUGAUCCUGGCUCAGGAUGAACGCUGGCGGCGUGCCUAAUACAUGCAAGUCGAACGAGGUGCUUUUGUAGCAAUACGAAAGUAUCCUAGUGGCGAACGGGUGAGUAACGCGUGGGUAAUCUGCCCUCGGCAUCGGGAUAGCCCGGGGAAACCCGGAUUAAUACCGAAUAGCCUCCGGAGCUCUCGGGCGCCGGAGAAAAGGUAGCUUCGGCCUCUGGCCGAGGAUGAGCCCGCGGCGGAUUAGCUUGUUGGCGGGGUAACGGCCCACCAAGGCGACGAUCCGUAGCUGGUCUGAGAGGACGAUCAGCCACACUGGGACUGAGACACGGCCCAGACUCCUACGGGAGGCAGCAGUGGGGAAUCUUGCGCUAAUGCGGGAAACCGUGACGCAGCGACGCCGCGUGGGGGAAGAAGGCCUUCGGGUUGUAAACCUCUUUCAGGAGGGACGAAGCUACUCGGGUUAAUAGCCCAGAGGGUGACGGUACCUCCAGAAGAAGCCCCGGCUAACUACGUGCCAGCAGCCCCGGUCAA